rnacentral:rRNA from 1 species
UACAGAGGGUGCGAGCGUUAAUCGGAAUUACUGGGCGUAAAGCGCGCGUAGGCGGCUUUGCAAGUCGAGUGUGAAAUCCCCAGGCUUAACCUGGGAACUGCAUUCGAGACUGCAUAGCUAGAGUAUGGGAGAGGGAAGUGGAAUUUCAGGUGUAGCGGUGAAAUGCGUAGAUAUCUGAAGGAACAUCAGUGGCGAAAGCGACUUCCUGGGCCAAUACUGACGCUGAGGUGCGAAAGCGUGGGGAGCAAACAGG